UGGGAAACAGGGUUGUAUAGCUUGAGAGUCUGUUCACCAAUUAGAAAAGCAUUGAGGAGACCUGUGUUCAUGUUACCAUGGAAGAUCUGUCGUUCUGCUCUUUCUGCAUACAAAAGUCUCGUGUCUGCUGCAGAUUAUCUGGCAGAGAAAACAAGAAGUACAUCCAAGGUUUGUUCCAGUAAAUCUUAUUGAGAUAAUUGAGGAGUUAUGCUUUUUGCACAUAUGGAUAGAAAAACAAGAUAGCAUUAGAGAAGGCAGCUAUUCAAGUAUUUGUGGAAGGAAAGAGGUGGUGAAAAUGAGCAGAGCACCAAAAAGGACAGAGAAGAAUGGAUAAAACUGAAACUGAACAAGAGCAGCAAAUAAACAACUUGAAGCAACUUCAUUUUGCCAAAUAAUUCUUGAACCAGAUAUAACUGCUG